CGAAAGACGGGUGAGAAUCCCGUCCACCGAUUGACUAAGGUUUCCAGAGGAAGGCUCGUCCGCUCUGGGUUAGUCGGGUCCUAAGCUGAGGCCGACAGGCGUAGGCGAUGGAUAACAGGUUGAUAUUCCUGUACCACCUAUAAUCGUUUUAAUCGAUGGGGGGACGCAGUAGGAUAGGCGAAGCGUGCGAUUGGAUUGCACGUCUAAGCAGUAAGGCUGAGUAUUAGGCAAAUCCGGUACUCGUUAAGGCUGAGCUGUGAUGGGGAGAAGACAUUGUGUCUUCGAGUCGUUGAUUUCACACUGCCGAGAAAAGCCUCUAGAUAGAAAAUAGGUGCCCGUACCGCAAACCGACACAGGUAGUCAAGAUGAGAAUUCUAAGGUGAGCGAGCGAACUCUCGUUAAGGAACUCGGCAAAAUGACCCCGUAACUUCGGGAGAAGGGGUGCUCUUUAGGGUUAACGCCCAGAAGAGCCGCAGUGAAUAGGCCCAAGCGACUGUUUAUCAAAAACACAGGUCUCUGCUAAACCGUAAGGUGAUGUAUAGGGGCUGACGCCUGCCCGGUGCUGGAAGGUUAAGAGGAGUGGUUAGCUUCUGCGAAGCUACGAAUCGAAGCCCCAGUAAACGGCGGCCGUAACUAUAACGGUCCUAAGGUAGCGAAAUUCCUUGUCGGGUAAGUUCCGACCCGCACGAAAGGCGUAACGAUUUGGGCACUGUCUCAACGAGAGACUCGGUGAAAUCAUAGUACCUGUGAAGAUGCAGGUUACCCGCGACAGGACGGAAAGACCCCGUGGAGCUUUACUGUAGCCUGAUAUUGAAAUUCGGCACAGCUUGUACAGGAUAGGUAGGAGCCUUUGAAACGUGAGCGCUAGCUUACGUGGAGGCGCUGGUGGG
rnacentral:rRNA from 1 species